rnacentral:lncRNA from 1 species
CUGAUAGUGUUGACAGAAGAACAAUGUUUACUAUAGUUAAAGCUGCUUUAUUUGCACAGUUUCUGAUAAAUUAUGGUAAGAUAAUAUAUUUUACUGACAUUUUCUUUGCAUAUGUACAUUAUGAUUUCUUAUAAGGAGCUACAAUCUUUAUCUCCGUGAGUAAAUUAAUUUGUUUUGAUAGACAAAUCGUCAAAAACGUACUGUUAAAAUAUGUACACAAAGUGGAGUAAACAUCUUCAAUGUAUAUAUUAUUAUGUAAGUGCAUGAAAUAAUUUCCAUUGGACGUUAAGGGAUCAACAAUAAAUAAUCAAUGUAUAUACAUAUAAAAACAUUGUGCAAAGUUUAAAAUUCAGGUUGAACACUGAUGGGGGACUUGAAUAUCUUUUUUACCGGAAGCCUUUUCGCUCAGCCGACUGACCAACCAAAUAAAUGAUAUACAAGACCUAGUUGUACCAAAAUCUUUGUAACUUUCAUGUGCAGCUAUAAAGUAACCAUUUGUAAAAUGUUUCGACUGAGCCGAUAAAGAGUUUUGGUUGAUCCACUAAAGUUUCUCGACUGAACUGAUAAAGAGUUUUAGUUGAUCCACUAAAGUUUCUCGACUGAACUGAUAAAGAGUUUUGGUUGAUCCACUAAAGUUUCUCGACUGAUCCGAUAAAGAGUUUUAGUUGAUCCACUAAAGUUUCUCGACUGAUCCGAUAAGAGUUUUAGUUGAUCCACUAAAGUUUUCUCGACUGAUCCGAUAAAGAGUUUAGUUGAUCCACUAAAGUUUUCGACUGAUCGAUAAAGAGUUUUAGUUACUAAAGUUUUCGACUGAUCCGAUAAAGAGUUUUAGUUGAUCCACUAAAGUUUCUCGACUGAUCCGAUAAAGAGUUUUAGUUGAUCCACUAAAGUUUCUCGACUGAUCCGAUAAAGGUUUUUAGUUGAUCCACUAAAGUUUCUCGACUGAUCCGAUAAAGAGUUUUAGUUGAUCCACUAAAGUUUCUCGACUGAUCCGAUAAAGAGUUUUAGUUAGUUGAUCCACUAAAGUGUCUCGACUGAUCCGAUAAAGAGUUUUAGUUGAUCCACUAAAGUGUCUCGACUGAUCCGAUAAAGAGUUUUGGUUGAUCCUAAAGUUUCUCGACUGAUCCGAUAAAGAGUUUUAGUUAGUUGAUCCACUAAAGUGUCUCGACUGAUCGAUAAGAGUUUUAGUUUAUCCACUAAAGUGUCUCGACUGAUCCGAUAAAGAGUUUUGGUUGAUCCACUAAAGUGUCUCGACUGAUCCGAUAAAGAGUUUUGGUUGAUCCACUAAAGUGUCUCGACUGAUCCGAUAAAGAGUUUUGGUUGAUCCACUAAAGUUUCUCGACUGAUCCGAUAAAGAGUUUUGGUUGAUCCACUAAAGUGGCAUAAUGCCCCGCAAAAACUAAUUGAAUUCUUGUCGUUAUUGACAAAAGUUUUGAGAUAUAUAGUCUCGAUAUUUAAAUAUACUAUAAGUACACCAUUUCUUUUGUUUUAUCUUAAAAUAUAUUCAUUGUACUUUUCUUUUCUGUAAUGACAAAUUACUCGACCAACAACAGUUGGCCGAGUAUUCUAGUUAAUAAGUCACUGAAUAACCAGGGUAAUACAAAUACUCUUUCAUCUAUUUUCCCUACUCGAUUUCUUCAAGUUUGUUAUUGUAUUUUCAGCACAUUGUUUAUGUCCGAAUGGUUACCUCAAGCAUGACCAGUCUUGUUACAAAAUUAUAAGAACUUUAGCGACAUGGGCUGAAGCAACCGUGAGUAAUAAAUAUAUGAGUACCUAAAUUCUACCUUAAACUGAGAAUUAACACCAUUAAUAUUUCUUUCAAUAAUAAUAGAGGUUUAGAUAAGGGUUUGCAGAGAGGUAAACUCUUGUUUUUAUAUAUAUAAAAAAAAAUCAUCAUAGAUACUAUAGGAUUGAAAUUUUAUAUUUGCGUCAGACGCGCGUUUCGUCUACAAAAGACCCAUCAGUGACGCUCAAAACAAUUAAAAAAAAAGGCCAAGUGUAAGUUAGUCUUAUAUACAAGCUGGACUGUGAAUUUUGUUUACAUUCAUAAAGUGUGGUUUUGUUAUGUGACAAAACUCCUCUUUAAAUUCAAGUUGCAAUAGAGUUUAUACAUUGUAUACUGCAAUAGCGUUUCAAUAAUAAUCAACGUAUACAAAAAAAUAGAUGUCUUUAAAAGGCCGGAACUCUCAUAUAACAUGUUUAAUAAACAUACAUACACUAUCAUAAAAUCGCAGGUGUGGAUUCAGGUGGGGCGUGGCGAUAUGAUCCCCCUCUUUAGUGUGCAAAGCAUGGGUUGUCCUCAGCCUAAUACAGAAUAUUUCGAUAAUUUUACAUAAAGAAUUAAGUUUGCGCCACCUAAACCUAAUGACUUGGAUCCAGGGCCGUCCAAAAUCUUGGCAAAGACAACAUUAUUUUGUGUUAUAUAAAGACACGUUUCUAAAAUCACCUGCUGUUGUGGUACAUUUGUGUUUUUCACUUUCAGUCAAUUACGAAUGCCUCUUUUAAUAUACUAUAUGUGAAGGUCUAGAUUUGUACUCUUUUAGGUUUUUUUUGUCAAUUGUUCUCUAUUCAUUGUCAUUUUUUUGCGCAUUAUGUGUUCUUUAUAUUUGAGCACUCAAUUAUUCUCUAUUCUUUAUUUGUUGGCCAAUUUUUCUCUUUUCUUUACCUUUUUUUCUAUUAUUUUCUAUCCUGUUAACCCCAUCCAGACCCUCAUAUUUUUCGGCUUGUUUAUAUCAUAGAUAUACUGCCGAGCAAUGGGAUCAGAACUGGCAAAUUUAGAGACAGUGGUAGAGGAUCAUUUCGUACAUGGAAUGAUAGAAAACCUGGGAGGUAAGAACUGAAGAUACAAUAAAACAACAGUGCAUGGUACUAUGCUAUAAAACCAAUGAGUUUUGAAAUACAAUACUAUCAGCAUUAGAUUGAUUUUGAUUUAGAUUUUUGUUGUUUUAACGCCACUUUUAAGCACCGCAUUUAGGCUAUUUUGUGGCGGCCAGUUUUUAUUGGUGGAUGAAGUCGGAGUGCCUGGAGAAAACCACCGACCUUCGAUUGGAAAACUGACAAUCCUAGUCAAUUAAGAUUGGAGUCGAGUGCAUCCGCAUUGGGAAAAAAAGUCAUUGUUUUGUUAAAAUGUAAUAAAUAUAAGCCGUUGAACAGCCUGCCAUUCAUUCCACGCUAAGAACACAAAAGAAUUGAAUAAUAUUUUAGCAAGAUCAAAUAUGAACAUCAUAAAUAAAAGAGAUGACAAUAUCGACCCCUGUUAUGAUUUUAAGGUAGUUAUGAUCCUCCGAAGUUUUGGCUUGGUGGAAACGAUAUUGUGACGGAGACUGAAUGGAUGUGGGCUAAAACUCAUACCAAGUUUACCUACACAAACUGGGGACCAGGUCAACCUGAUAACAGUCAUAAAGGACUUGGAGAAAACUGUUUAGAACUUUCAAAGAAUCAGGCUUGGAACUGGAAUGAUGAUUACUGUGAACACAGGAUAUAUUUUAUCUGUGAAAGACCGUAAGUACAAAUGUUGAGUGGUGUCAGUAUCCACACAUGAGUUGCAUAUAGCGAUAUGAAACUACAAUUACUUUAAUGCAAGUGCAUAGUGAGAGCCAUUAUAUGGACUUUAAAAAUGUCUUUUAAAACAUUCUUAUUUUAGCAGCUGAAGUGCCAAAUGUGCUGCAAUUAAGAUUGCACAGUAUGCUGCAUUGACUAGUUUAGUUUAUGGAUGAUCGCUACUAGUUUAUGGAUGAUCGCUACUCCUGUUUUUGAUGCUGCAUUGACUAGUUUAGUUUAUGGAUGAUCGCUACUCCUGUUUUUGAAUCAUCUAGUUUAGUUUAUGGAUGAUGAUCGCUACUCCUGUUUUUGAAUCAUCUUGUUUUAUCCAUGUGAUGCCAAUUACAGUUUUUUAACCACUAACUCUUACUUUUCUUUUCAUGAUUUUAUUACAUAUCAGACAUUUUUGAAAAUCUUAUAAAAAUCCUUGUUAUUAUUUCAUGGAUUUUGAAAGAAAAAAAGUAUGAAAAAUGAAGGUAAUAAUUUCCCAACAUAUUUUCAAAUGAUUAUAACUUAAAAACAUGGUCUCUGAUCCAUCAUUUUUAUCUACUUUUUAUUUUUUUAUUUAUAUACUAUCAAUUUAUAACAGUCUUUUAAAAAGUUUGUUACUUUAAAUCAGAAGAGCGAACAUCCUUAAAACAGUCAUUGUAUACAUAGUUUCUUUCAAAAUUAGAUGUGAACAAAAAAUUAAGGGAAUUGUCUAGUAAGAUGUGUUAUCCAAAGUGCUGUACCAUCUUUUGUUCUAGACAUAUGACUUACUCAAAUGUUUUUUUGAUAUUCUGUAAGUUCGAAAUUAUUGCAAGGUUUUUAUUAACGUGAAAAAUGUGACUGGGGUUGUAUCGCAAUAUAAAUAAGAACUGUAUUCUGAUAUCUGAUAUAUAUAUAUAUAUAUAUGUAUACGUUUUUUCUUCUCCUUCUGAAAUCGAACAAAUCACACGUUUUUAAUCCUCCUUCAAAAUCGCAAAAAUUUCCAAAUUUACAGUACUGAGCUAUGUUAAACUAUUGAAAAUCAUUCUGAUUAUUAAAUGUACACAAAUCUACUGCAGAUAAAACUAUUCUAGCUUCGUAGUUGUAGGAAUUGUGGAUAAAGAUGCAACAUUUAGUUAUAAAAAAAUACUAGUACAACUCACCAUCAGUUCGUCGGAAAAACCAUGUUGCCAUCAUAAAUGAUUUGACAAUAAUUGAUUACGGUCAACAACAACUGGUCAUUUAUGGAAAAUUGAAAAAGAAACACAAUUCUUAUGUCAUGCUCACCUUCAUCAUAUGUACUGAAACCCUGUGUAUUAAAAAAAAAAACAAAAAAAACGCCAUGCUUGAAUACUUACAAAUCAUCAUGUACCCAAUGUGGGAGGGAUGCAUGAACAAAUUGACAGACAUAGGUAUAGUUCAAUACAAUCUAACCCUUCUUAUUUUUGUUGCGAUUACAUAACCGACAAGUUGAACGACAAAGUGAUGCACACCAUUAUUUUUUUUUACAGAUCUGAAGAAGUGGAUAGUGGAGAAAUUGUUGGAUAAAUGUAUAAUCACAUAAGAUAAAAAAUAAAAAGGUAAAAACACAACCAUUCGGAUACAAUA